GGAGGACCAAACAGUUUUCCAGCAUUGCUGAGCGUAUGAUAAGGUUUGCACGGAGAGAUGAGAGCAAAGGGAUAUUCCCUGGGACAUCCGUUGGGAGUCAUCUU
rnacentral:lncRNA from 1 species